rnacentral:rRNA from 1 species
UACGAAGGGGGCUAGCGUUGUUCGGAAUUACUGGGCGUAAAGCGCGCGUAGGCGGACAUUUAAGUCAGGGGUGAAAUCCCAGAGCUCAACUCUGGAACUGCCUUUGAUACUGGGUGUCUUGAGUAUGGAAGAGGUGAGUGGAAUUCCGAGUGUAGAGGUGAAAUUCGUAGAUAUUCGGAGGAACACCAGUGGCGAAGGCGGCUCACUGGUCCAUUACUGACGCUGAGGUGCGAAAGCGUGGGGAGCAAACAGG